UACGUAGGGUGCGAGCGUUAAUCGGAAUUACUGGGCGUAAAGCGUGCGCAGGCGGUUUUGUAAGCCAGAUGUGAAAGCCCCGGGCUCAACCUGGGAAUGGCAUUUGGGACUGCAAGGCUUGAGUGCGGCAGAGGAGACUGGAAUUCCUGGUGUAGCAGUGAAAUGCGUAGAUAUCAGGAGGAACACCGAUGGCGAAGGCAGCUCGCUGGGACGGUACUGACGCUGAGGCGCGAAAGCGUGGGGAGCGAACAGG
rnacentral:rRNA from 1 species